GAUCAUGGCUCAGGAUGAACGCUAGCGACAGGCCUAACACAUGCAAGUCGAGGGGCAACAUGGUGUCAGCUUGCUGAUACCGAUGGCGACCGGCGCACGGGUGAGUAACGCGUAUGUAAUCUACCUGUAACGAGAGGGAUAACCCGGAGAAAUCCGGACUAAUACCUCAUAGCACAUAUUAUUCGCAUGAAUUUUAUGUUAAAGAGACUCGGUUACAGAUGAACAUGCG
rnacentral:rRNA from 1 species